rnacentral:misc_RNA from 1 species
GGAAGCUCUUCCUUUUUUUAGUAGGUAGUUCUUAUCAUUUCCUUCACUUAAUGAAUCUAUAGCAGAAGGGAUCGUGUAAUUCCUUUAGUUUUGACUGCUUUUCUCAUAGAAAUUUGUUGGAAUAGUUACUUUCUGUUGCAUAAUAGUAGAAUGUAGUGGAUGAUAAGAAGGCCAUAGAUUUGCACCCAAGAGUGUGGCCUAUAGGUCAAGAGAAC